AGGGUAGAGCUCGGGGUAGAGCACGUGCUUAAUUAGCAUGCACGAGGUCCUGGGUUCGAUUCCCAGUACCUCUA
rnacentral:tRNA from 1 species